GUGUACCUAAAGUCGGUAACCGCAAGGAGCCGCCUAGGGUAAAACUAGUAACUGGGGCUAAGUCGUAACAAGGUAGCCGUACCGGAAGGUGCGGCUGGAAUACCUCCUUUUUAGAGCUU
rnacentral:rRNA from 1 species